rnacentral:rRNA from 1 species
GUCAAUUCAUUUGAGUUUUAACCUUGCGGUCGUACUCCCCAGGCGGUGUGUUUAUCGGUUUCCUGCGACACUGAAAAUAAAUUUCCAACGUCUAACACACAUCGUUUACGGCAUGGACUACGAGGGUAUCUAAUCCUCUUCGCUACCCAUGCUUUCGUUCCUCAGUGUCAGUAAUGAUCCAGAAAGCUGCCUUCGCAAUUGGUAUUCUUUCUAAUAUCUACGAAUUUCACCUCUACACUAGAAAUUCUGCUUUCCUCUAUCAUACUCUAGCUGAAAAGUUUUGAUGGCAGUUCCAGAGUUAAGCUCUGGGAUUUCACCACCAACUUUUUCAACCACCUACGAACUCUUUAAGCCCAGUAAUUCCGAACUACGCUAGGUCCCUUCGUAUUACCGCGGCUGCUGGCACGAAGUUAGCCGGACCUUCUUAUUCGGGUACAGUCAUUUUCUUCCCCGACGAAAGAGCUUUACAACCCAAAGGCCUUCUUCACUCACGCGGCAUCGCUGCAUCAGAGUUUCCUCCAUUGUGCAAGAUUCCCCACUGCUGCCUCCCGUAGGAGUUUGGGCCGUGUCUCAGUCCCAAUGUGGCUGAUCAUCCUCUCAAAUCAGCUAUUGAUCAUAGUCUUGGUAGGCCAUUACCCUACCAACAAACUAAUCAAGUGCGGGCUCAUCCAAUGGUGCAUAAAGCUUUCUCCGUAAAGACUUAUCCGGUAUUAGCACAAGUUUCCUCGUGUUAUUCCAGGCCAAAGGGUAGAUACCCACAUGUUACUCACCCGUCUGCCACUAAGUAUUGCUACUUCGUUCGACUUGCAUGUGUUAGGCGUGCCGCCAGCGUACGUUCUGAGCCAGGAUCAAACUCU